rnacentral:rRNA from 1 species
CAGCAGCCGCGGUAAUACGGAGGGUGCAAGCGUUAAUCGGAAUUACUGGGCGUAAAGCGCACGCAGGCGGUCUGUCAAGUCGGAUGUGAAAUCCCCGGGCUCAACCUGGGAACUGCAUCCGAAACUGGCAGGCUAGAGUCUUGUAGAGGGGGGUAGAAUUCCAGGUGUAGCGGUGAAAUGCGUAGAGAUCUGGAGGAAUACCGGUGGCGAAGGCGGCCCCCUGGACAAAGACUGACGCUCAGGUGCGAAAGCGUGGGGAGCAAACAGGAUUAGAUACCCCUGUAGUCCCUGUCUCUUAUAA